GGACCCGGCAAUGAGGCAGUGCUUACCAGGUUCUCCAAGGCCACCCCAGCCGAAACGCGGAAAGAGUCCUGAUCAGCCUGACUCCAUUUCAGCUCAGACACUGCCCUGCCAGUUUGUACUUCCCUUAAUCACCACGUCCUCACUCUGGACACCGUAUCGGGAUGUGAGGCAGGGAACCUAUUCACAGCUCCAAAGAGGCCUGGUCCCCUGUUUGGAUCUCCCCAAAGGGUACUUACUUGUUUUCUCCGCUCUUUGAGAUUUUUGCUUAAUUUCAAAUUUCCAAAAUAUGCCAUAAGUGAACACUAAAAAUGUUGGAACACUAUGGCUACUCUACUAUGCUUGGGCAGGGAAAAUUAACAGCUGAUAAACUGUGAGUACAAAGGAUGCCAAAGUUCAUUCUGAGUUUUAAUAUCAUCUAGAUAAAAAACAAGAAAAGCAGCAAGUCUACACCUCAGCGCUCUCUCCAAGUGACACACCCACUCACAUCUGCACACACAUUACUCACACUCAUACACACUCUGUCACCCUCACAUACAUUCACAUUUACUCACAUGUCCUCUAGGCCACACACAUGAACACCCACACGCAGAGAUGCCCCAGUACGUUUGGACACACAUAGCAGAGGCUCACCCCCAGAGCUUACAUGAGAACAAGAGAACACGCCUUUCUAGCCUCACACUACUCAGCACUAGAAUCUACUGGUCCAACAAGGCUAGUCUCAUUAGAAUGCCGUAAACUUACCCUGCAAAUCAGUGUUGGCCAGUCUCUGUGUUUUUUGUGGAUGAAUCCCCCAAAUGAUUUCAUUCAUCUUUCAAAGCUCAGCACCAAUCCAAUCUCCCUCAUAAAGUCUUCCUCAACUACUAUUAAUACCUCACCUCUAUGAAAGGCAGAGUGGCCAGUGGAAUGCAGCUCACAAGCAAAACUGGGGACCCGCUGCUAGAGCCCGGUGCCUUCCUGUCUGCAGCCUGGAGGCGGCUUUGACUGGCUCACUGAGUCUCCCAGCCCUUGGCACAGAACAGGCCCUUCGUCAACAAUGAACCUUCUCAUUGACUCUUAAGAAGCUGUGACUUUAUUCUGUAGGUAAUGGAAAUUCAGUGGACACUUCUAAGAAGAUUAACCCUGGGAGCUAAGUGAUGAGAACUUAUGAACACAAAGAAGGAAACAAAAGUCACUGGGGUCUACAGGGUGGAGGGUGGAAGGUGGGAGGAAGGAGAGGAGAAGACAAGAUAACUGUUGGGUACUGGGCUUGAUACCUGGGUGAUGAAAUAAUAUGGACAACAAACCCCUGUGACACAUCUCUACCUAUGUGACAUGUCUUUACCUAUGUUACCUAUUUAACAAAUAAAAGUUAAAAAAAAAGAAAAUUACAGAACACUGCUGGAAGAAAUAUUUAAAUAUUUAAAAAGAUUAACACAAUCAAAUCUGUGUCAUAGGAAAAACAAGUUUGGCAGUGGGGGUGGGAGGGGCUAGAUUCAAAGGGAGAAAAGCUAGAGGCAGGGAGACGGACAGUUAUUACAUUUCUGCAUGGGUUCAGUUUGUCAGCGGGCUCAUGAGCUGCUAGCUCCAGAAGAUGCCUGAGACCCCACGUAGUCCAAUUUCUUCACCUACAGCUGAGAAAACUGAGGUGGGGAGAAGAGAAGACACAGCACGUUCUAGCAAAAAGUCAACAAAGACAUGUAGCAAAACCAGACCUUUGCUACCCAACCUCAAGGCACAUACGCCACAGUGGAGGAUCAAGGCAGAGACAUAGGCAGCAGAAGAAAGAUCCAGAACAUAACAGGACCUAAUUACUUCCAACAUGAGUGACAAAGACCAUAAACCCCAAAGGAAUUGCAGCGAGGGAAGCAUCAGCACAAGCUGAGAGACACGGAGUGGAAUUUGUACUGGAAAAUGCAUGUCCAGGAAUUUCAUCAUGGACUCCCAGGUUGAAGGUCACAUGACCUGAGCCUGCCCAGGAGAUCUAAGUGUGCAACCACAGUGGGGACCUACGUGCUGGGACGGAGGAGCAGGGACUGAGUUAAGAAGCAGACACUGGAUGGUAGGAUCCGGGAUCCAAUCAGAUGGAGCUCCGGCAUCAUCCCAUGGCAGGAAGCAGUCAAACCAUGCCUCCCGGCAUCACCUCAUUGCAAGAUCCAUUUAGACCACACCUCAUUACCCUGCGCUUAUAAAACACAAACCAAACCCCAGCUUGGGGAGACAGACUUGAGCAUUUCCUACUGUCUCUUUGCCAGUUGAGUCGCAAUAAAGCUUUUUCUUUUCUCAAAAGCUGGCACAAUGGUAUUGGCCUCUAUGCGCAUUGGGCGUCAAGCCACUGAUUGCUAGGUUACAAGUGUUCUUGAAUAUAAGAACAGCUGGAUUAAAUUUGUAUCUUAGGAAGAUUUCAUCAGUCAGCCUUCAGUAUGAUUUAGAGAGGAGAGUAGAGUUGGAAUGACAGUUUUGAAGCUCAUGUAAAAAGUCAGUGUAUCUAUCAUUGUGCAUUGAAUAAUCCCAUAACUUAGUGGCUUAAAACAAUAAUCAGUGACUUGUAUCUCUCAAAGUUUCUGUGGAUCAGGAAGUCAGGAAUGGCUUGGCAAGGGUAGUCCUGGCUCAGUCAUGAGCUGGAGGCUUCAAGCAAAUGUCAGCCCCUGACCGCAAGUAACUUACCCGCCUCGGCCUCCCAAAGUGCUGGGGUUACAGGCAUGAGCCACCACGCCCGGCCUCCCUGCUUUAUUAUCUCCAUUUUGUAACUGACAGACACUAAUCCAAAAACCUCAGAGCUGAGGAAGCACAACCUUCAGACCAACUCUCAGAAGCAGGGCGGAAUGAGAAAGACACAGAACAGUACAAUGUUUGAAUCAUGAUGAAGCCUUUCAACAGCAUCAUCCAGGCUCAUCCUUCACUAAACCUCCCUACCUGCCUCCUGCCCCAUCCCUUCAUUUAGAGCUGGGUUCCUGCUGUGGGCAAACAUCUACUAGGGCCUGUAUGGGAGUAAAGCAGACCUCAGUUAGGGAGGCCAGCAGCAGAAAAACUCGACUUUCACUUUGGGUUUCUGUUUGACUCUUGAAAGCCACAUCACCAGGCCUCUUAUGCAGCUAGGAGCUAUGAAGGUGCAGGGAAAGAGCAAGAUCAGGGAGGGCAGCUCACAGAAAGCCUGUGCCUACCCACGUAACUGAAUUCUGCCACUUCAUGGAUACUGUGAAAGAACGCUCCACUUAAAGAGAGUCACUACACAGAUACCCUAACCUGUAAAACACAAUAACUGGGAACCAAUCAGCAAAAAGGUACUUUGGUCUAAUUUUUAGAGGAAUUGGUCUCCAAACAAGUCCCUCAGAACUAGUCAUGACAAUCUACUGGAGAUGGAAAGAGAUCUUAGAAAUUCAAUCCUACCUAGUGAAGAAAUUAAGUUCUAGCUGUUUCCUGUGUGACUGCUGCUGCUCUUCCUUUCUCUACACAUCAGCUGUGCAUGGCCCCCAGGUUGGGCGCCAUGCACAGCUAUCCUGGGGGUCUGGAUGGUGGUGGCCUGUGGCUCUCAUUUUUUCACUCCUUCACUCCUUCCACUGCUGCUGUGUGAGGCAGUUACCUGUGUCCAUUUAGACUGUCUAGUUUUAACCAGAUUCAUGCUUACAAAACAGGCAUAAAAGAUUCCUGCAAAGAAACUGCAGAGGGAAAAUAAAGUUAACCAAGAAAGCCAGCUGAUCCAGCAGAAAGGAGCAAUGGUGGCCUUUUCCCUACUCCUGACACAAGCUCUUCAACAGCCAUGAUAACAGAUAAAACAAUGGCAAUCGAAUCAGACCAGGCGAACAUUCAGCCACAAACACUGAAACCAUCAAGAAGAUGUAAAGACUGGAUUUAUAGCCACUAUCAAUCUCUCUUAUGUGUGUGUUGUGCCGUGACAGUGGCUAAUGAUAGCAUAAACCAUCCAGACAUUGACAGGCUAAACGAGAACAUGCAUAAAAGGACAGACCUUUACAGGUUCUUCAGCAAUGGUUAAAGUGAGGAAAUGUUUAAUUAAUCCACCACUUUGAAAGCUCACUGCACUUAACAACAAAUUUAAAAACUUCUUUCACAUCUUCUCACUUCAUAACAGUAGACUAAAAACAUCACUUAACAUUUGGGAAAUGCACAAUUUUUUCCCUACUAGGGAAUUAGAUUUCCUUGCUAGAGAAAAAAAAAAUGGCUGAAAUAAAAUACGAAAAACA
rnacentral:lncRNA from 1 species